rnacentral:rRNA from 1 species
UUUAGUCAAUGGCCUAACGGCUGAACCAGCAACUUGCAGGAAUGAGAGUUAAUAUAAUAAGUUUAUUAACUUGCUUGACUAGGUCUUAUAAAAUUCUGGAUAAAGCUUAUUAUGAAAACUUUAUAUCCAUAGGUCUCGACCAAAUCUUGUGCCAGCAGUCGCGGUAAGACAAGGGAGACGAGUGUUAUUCAUCUUUAACAGGUAUAUAGGGUACCUAGACGGUGUACAAAGGCUUAGAUAAGUACCUGUUACACUUGAGUUUGAUAUGUGAGAGGAAUAUGUCAGAAUUAUUGGUGGAAAGAUAAAAUUUGCUAAUACUAAUAGGACUGAUAACGGCGAAGGCAAACCUCUAUGUACAUGCGUUUUUUAUUCGUUGGCGUGCUAGCACGUUUACAGUAAAAAAUACUAUAACUGACGUUGAGGGACGAAGGCUCAGAGAGUGAAGAGGAUUAGAUACCCCCGUAGCCUGGGCAGACAAUGAUGAGUGCCAUAGGUUGGCUUACGCCGAACUAUAAAUGAAAGUGGAAGCACUCCACCUCAAGAGUAAUGUGGCAACGCAGGAACUGAAAUCAUUAGACCGUUUCUGAAACCAGUAGUGAAGUAUGUUAUUUAA